AGAGUUUGAUCCUGGCUCAGGAUGAACGCUGGCGGCGUGCUUAACACAUGCAAGUCGAGCGAAGCACUUAUGAAAGAUUCUUCGGAUGAUUUCAUUUGUGACUGAGCGGCGGACGGGUGAGUAACGCGUGGGUAACCUGCCUCAUACAGGGGGAUAACAGUUGGAAACGACUGCUAAUACCGCAUAAGCGCACAGUGUCGCAUGACACAGUGUGAAAAACUCCGGUGGUAUGAGAUGGACCCGCGUCUGAUUAGCUGGUUGGUGGGGUAACGGCCUACCAAGGCGACGAUCAGUAGCCGACCUGAGAGGGUGAUCGGCCACAUUGGGACUGAGACACGGCCCAAACUCCUACGGGAGGCAGCAGUGGGGAAUAUUGCACAAUGGGGGAAACCCUGAUGCAGCAACGCCGCGUGAGUGAAGAAGUAUUUCGGUAUGUAAAGCUCUAUCAGCAGGGAAGAAAAUGACGGUACCUGACUAAGAAGCCCCGGCUAACUACGUGCCAGCAGCCGCGGUAAUACGUAGGGGGCAAGCGUUAUCCGGAUUUACUGGGUGUAAAGGGAGCGUAGACGGCGAGACAAGUCUGAAGUGAAAGCCCGGGGCUCAACCCCGGGACUGCUUUGGAAACUGCCUUGCUAGAGUGCUGGAGAGGUAAGUGGAAUUCCUAGUGUAGCGGUGAAAUGCGUAGAUAUUAGGAGGAACACCAGUGGCGAAGGCGGCUUACUGGACAGUAACUGACGUUGAGGCUCGAAAGCGUGGGGAGCAAACAGGAUUAGAUACCCUGGUAGUCCACGCCGUAAACGAUGAA
rnacentral:rRNA from 1 species